CCUUAUCAAGAGCGGCGGAGGGUACCGGCCCUGUGAAGCCCGGCAACCUGAUUAAUUUCAAGGUGCCAAAUCCGGCGGAUUAUCCGAAAGAUGAGG
rnacentral:ncRNA from 1 species